AUGUGGUGUUGGGGCGUGCGGUUGCACUCUGCCCACAACCCUGCAGCACCUUCUGGCUGUGCUGAUGAAGCAAUAACUGGCAAGCAAAGGAAACAAUUCUCCAUCUUUUAUUUUUGGAAGAAGUACAAUGGGAAUAGGACUGCACAGCGGAGAAUUCAGUGUGGCAGAAGGAUGGGAAGCAUGGAGGUUUCUGAGAUGGUUUGGAUGCUGCUUCCACCAAGCAGAAGGGAUGUUAUACUCAAAUUAUUCAUCAAAGCUGAGACCUUACACGGAUUAUUUUAUUGGAAAGUCAAGUAAACAACCACUGAUUUUCUUUCCCCCCCGUAAAUAUAAAGCAGAGAUCUUGUGUAAGAGGAGACAAUGUUAAAAUAACGAACACCAGAAGGGGCUGAAUGGAAAAGCCUGAGGUUAGAGCAGAGAGAAACUGUCAAAAGUUUUAACAGAAAUUUUAUGAGACCAUAUUUGUAUUCAAAAAAUCUAUCAGAGUUUUGAAAUCAAAAUAACUGCUGUUAGAUUAUUUGCUGAAAAUAGCUUUAUAGUGAGAAAAAAACCCCAUCUCCUGUAUCCCACGCUAAGAUGUAUAUGCUAUACCAUUCUGAAAUCCCAAAAGACAAUCUAAAUCACCUGGAUUCAUGAUGCUCAGGGUAGAUGCAAGUAGCUGGGUUUUCCCAUAAAUGUUGUUGUGGAAUACUCCAAUAACACAACUGUUGGGCCAGGUGCCUGGGUUGUGUGUGUGACACGGGUACAGGAGCACUGAGGCGGACGCGUGACGUCGCUGCGUUUCCUGUACGUCACUUAUCACAGCCACACAUUGUGGCCCUGGUAACGCCAACCAAGAGUUUGCCGGUGACUUCAGCGGAGCCAGAAUUUCACCCCAGGCUGGGAGCAGCUGACGGAGAGUGCCACGGGCUGGUGACCUUCAGCAAUUUCAAGUCAGUGACGUAGAAGUGAAAAAAUUCCUUGUCACACAACUGAUCUCAUCGGCAACCCAGGGUACCCAAAUUUCACUUUGGAUUUUCAACCAAGUUUCCAUUCACGUGGCACCUAUGUAGAUAAUAUGUUAAGGCAUUAUUCUUAAAAAAGUAAAGAAUUAAUUUCUUUAAGAGAUGGGCGAUUUGUAGAAGACAUUUGUGUAAUUUUGCAUUCUAAAUGUG
rnacentral:lncRNA from 1 species